GCGUGAGUGAUGAAGGCCUUCGGGUUGUAAAGCUCUUUUGGCGGGGACGAUGAUGACGGUACCCGCAGAAUAAGCUCCGGCUAACUUCGUGCCAGCAGCCGCGGUAAUACGAAGGGAGCUAGCGUUGUUCGGAAUUACUGGGCGUAAAGGGCGCGUAGGCGGCUCUUUUAGUCAGGCGUGAAAGCCCCGGGCUUAACCUGGGAAAUGCGUUUGAUACUGGAGAGCUUGAGUGUGGGAGAGGUUGGUGGAAUUCCCAGUGUAGAGGUGAAAUUCGU
rnacentral:rRNA from 1 species